GUAAUGCUGAGGAGUCCCAUAAUAGGACGAAACGGCCUUCUAGUAU
rnacentral:hammerhead_ribozyme from 1 species